UCGAGAAUAAUUCACAAUGGGGGCAACCCUGAUGGUGCAACGCCGCGUGGAGGAUGACGGUCUUCGGAUUGUAAACUCCUGUCAUCUGGGAGUAAGGCAUGGUUGUUAAUAGCAAACAUGAUUGAUAGUACCAGAAGAGGAAGGGACGGCUAACUUCGUGCCAGCAGCCGCGGUAAUACGAAGGUCCCGAGCGUUGUUCGGAAUCACUGGGCGUAAAGGGAGCGUAGGCGGCGCGGUAAGUCAGAUGUGAAAUCCCGGGGCUCAACCCCGGAACUGCAUCCGAUACUGCCGUGCUAGAGGAUUGGAGAGGUAGCUGGAAUUCUUGGUGUAGCAGUGAAAUGCGUGGAGAUCAAGAGGAACACUCGUGGCGAAAGCGAGCUACUGGACAAUAUCUGACGCUGAGGCUCGAAGGCCAGGGUAGCGAAAG
rnacentral:rRNA from 1 species